rnacentral:rRNA from 1 species
UACGUAGGGUGCAAGCGUUGUCCGGAAUUAUUGGGCGUAAAGCGCACGUAGGCGGAUUGUUAAGUCAGGGGUGAAAUCCCGGAGCUCAACUCCGGAACUGCCUUUGAUACUGGCAAUCUAGAGUCCGGAAUAGGUGAGUGGAACUCCUAGUGUAGAGGUGGAAUUCGUAGAUAUUAGGAAGAACACCAGUGGCGAAGGCGGCUCACUGGUCCGGUACUGACGCUGAGGUGCGAAAGCGUGGGGAGCAAACAGG